UAAAAGUUGCUCCGAAGUCCUGAGGAACACUGUGAGGCUGAAACCAAGGUUGGGCCAAGAGAUUGUGUCCUAAUCAACAGCCUCAAAAGAAAACACUACCAUUCGCCCAAGUGGGACAGACCAUACCAAGUGCUACUGCUACUGAGGCAGAGGAAUAAAGAUCAUCUUUCUUUCCCGCGUACCCCCUGAACUACUUUGCGUACCCCAGUUUGGGAACCGAUGAUUUAAACAAUUUAAUACAGAGACUAUAAGGAUCCUCACUCAUC
rnacentral:lncRNA from 1 species